ACGGCGCCGCCUCUCUCUACACGCUUCUGCCCGUUGCCUCAUGCCCAAAAUCGCCAGAAAUUUGCUUUUCCGGCACGCGCUUUCAUUGAGUUUUGGAGAAGAUUUUCGGAUGUUUGAGGUCCCCACGCGAUUUCUUGGUGAAGAAGUAUAGAAGUUUCGAGAUGGAGUAUAUAUUUUGGGCCUUUUUCUUUUAGUCGGGGGAGGCCAGUCUUUGGGAGGAAAAAUUAGAAA